rnacentral:rRNA from 1 species
AUUGAACGCUGGCGGCAUGCCUUACACAUGCAAGUCGAACGGGCUUUGGGGCUUGCUCCAAAGUUAGUGGCGAACGGGUGAGUAAUAUAUCGGAACGUACCCUUGAGUGGGGGAUAACAUAGCGAAAGUUAUGCUAAUACCGCAUACGAUCUACGGAUGAAAGUGGGGGACCGCAAGGCCUCACGCUCGUGGAGCGGCCGAUAUCUGAUUAGCUAGUUGGUGGGUAAAGGCCCACCAAGGCUUCGAUCAGUAGCUGGUCUGAGAGGACGAUCAGCCACACUGGGACUGAGACACGGCCCAGACUCCUACGGGUGGCUG